rnacentral:rRNA from 1 species
UACAGAGGUCUCAAGCGUUGUUCGGAUUCAUUGGGCGUAAAGGGUGCGUAGGCGGCGCGGUAAGUCGGGUGUGAAAUCUCGGAGCUUAACUCCGAAACUGCAUUCGAUACUGCCGUGCUUGAGGACUGGAGAGGAGACUGGAAUUCCUGGUGUAGCGGUGAAAUGCGCAGAUAUCAGGAGGAACACCGGUGGCGAAGGCGGGUCUCUGGGCCGUAAACUGACGCUGGAGGAG